GAAUGAAGAACGUAGCGAAAUGCGAUAAGUAAUGCGAAUUGCAGAAUUCAGUGAAUCAUCGAAUCUUUGAACGCACAUUGCGCCCGCCAGUAUUCUGGCGGGCAUGCCUGUCUGAGCGUCGUUUCGACCCUCGCGCCCGGCUUCUGUCGGGGGCGGUGUUGGGGAUCGGCCACACCCUUCAGUGGGAGGCCGGCCCCUAAAUUCAGUGGCGACCACGCUGUAGCCUCCCCUGCGUAGUACUAAAACCACCUCGCAGGCGGAGAGCGGUGCGGCCCGCCGUAAAACCCCCCAACUUUUACAAGGUCGACCUCAGAUCAGGUAGGAAUACCCGCUGAACUUAAGCAUAUCAAUAAGCGGAGGA
rnacentral:misc_RNA from 1 species